CCUACGGGUGGCAGCAGUGGGGAAUAUUGGACAAUGGGCGAAAGCCUGAUCCAGCCAUGCCGCGUGUGUGAAGAAGGCCUUCGGGUUGUAAAGCACUUUCAGUGGGGAAGAAAGCCUUGGGGCUAAUACCCUCGAGGAAGGACAUCACCCACAGAAGAAGCACCGGCUAACUCCGUGCCAGCAGCCGCGGUAAUACGGAGGGUGCGAGGCGUUAAUCGGAAUUACUGGGCGUAAAGCGCGCGUAGGCGGUCUGAUAAGCCGGUUGUGAAAGCCCCGGGCUCAACCUGGGAACGGCAUCCGGAACUGUCAGGCUAGAGUGAAGGAGAGGAAGGUAGAAUUCCCGGUGUAGCAGUGAAAUGCGUAGAGAUCGGGAGGAAUACCAGUGGCGAAGGCGGCCUUCUGGACUGACACUGACGCUGAGGUGCGAAAGCGUGGGUAGCAAACAGGAUUAGAUACCCGAGUAGUC
rnacentral:rRNA from 1 species